rnacentral:lncRNA from 1 species
GGUUGGCGGACCCUGAGAGCUGGGGUCAGGUUCUGCGCGUUCUCCGUCUGGCCUCCUGCCGGGUGCCCGGUGUUUCAGGGAUCCUCCUGCGAUUGGCGCCAGAUGUACUGAGCGCAGCAGUUGCUCGACUUAAUCAAAUUGGCCAAUAUUGACCAAGCACCCAAAGGACGAGAUGCUGUAGCCGAGAAUCGGGAAGUCCGGAUUCCGGUCCUGGCUCUUGUCCGUGUUGUGCCCAAGACUGCGAAUCCGAGAAACCACCAAGGAGCCGACUCCGAUGCAAGUACACGAGGGUUUAUUUACAAGCUCGAGCUUGGGUCCAAGUGCACCCGACACAGCGGAGCAGGGGCUUGGACCCCGAGGUGGGUUACAGCUGGGUUUUUUAUGGCCUGGUCUAGGGGAUCUUCAGAAGGGGGAUCCCAAUUUUUUCCAUUCCUAUAUGGGGGAAAGGGUGGGGGAGUUUCUUAAGAUCUGAUAUGGGAUUCCCUGCCGAGGACAUUCUGCAGUUUUUCCUGUGAAGUUCAGCUCUUAUUCCCAGGGACCUAAAAUGGCUGUACUUGUGCUAAUGCUAAACUUGAGGUGGAAUGGCCUUAAUUUUUCUUGGCCUCCACGUCAGGCCUUCUGAGUGAACCUCAGUUAUUUUACUUCACCUCUAAAUGGAUGGCAUGUGCCCUGCCCACCUCGACAGGUUUGUACAGGGUCUUGGAUAUCGUGAAAUCGGGUAAAUUAAAGCACUCUAGAAGAGGAGUUUAGAUUGCUGUUCCUACUGAGUGCCAGGUACUACCCUGAGGGGAUUAAGGAAGAUACAGCACCAGCCCUGACAGCAGGGAGAACACCUUCUAGUUGGUAGAACAAACAUGUCACCUUCACCUCUCUGGACUUGGGUUCUCCUUCAUGAAGUGUGGGGAAUAAGACUCUAUAUGAUCCCUACCAACUUUCUGAAAGUAUGUCCAGUGCGUGUUUUUCCAACCAAACUGAACUCACUCCUGACACUAUGUGGAGAUAGCAUUAGAUCCUACAGGUCAAGGGCUCAGUCCUACAACACUGCUCUUGCCCCCACUUCAGACACUGAUUGCAGGCGUAGGUUGUUACCUGUGCUUCUGACCCACCAGGCAGUAGAUGAUGGGGCGGUCCCAUGACCUGCCCCCCACCUGCCGUAGGACUAAUUUGCUGCAGAGGCUCACAGAACUUGGGGAAACUUUUUGCUUACUAGAUCGCUGGUUUAUUAUAAAAAGCUAAAACUCGGGGACAGAGGAGAAAGAUGCAUAGGGCAAGGUAUGUGGAAAGCUUCCAUACCUUCUCUAGCUGUGCCACUGUCCCAGGACCUACAUGCAUUCACCAACUUAGAAGAUCUCUGAACCCACUGCUUUUGGGGUUGUAUGGAGGUUUUAUUAUACAGACAUGUUGAGUAAAUCAUUAGUUCCAUUUCCAGGCCCUCAGGACUAAAGUUACAAACUUCUAAUCUCCUGGUUGGUUACCCUGGCAACCAACCCACUUUGAUUCCCUAUUCCCAUCCCUCUCUUACCUAGGGGCCUUUCAAAAUCACUACAUUAACAUAAACACCUUCAUGGGUCUUCUCGGGAAAUUCCAUGGAUUUUAGGGUUUUGUGCUAGGAAUGAGGACAAUUAUCAAAUAUAUAUUUAUUGCCACAAUAUCACAGAAUGAUUCUAAGAAAUGAGAAAGAAGGCAUUUUAUACUAAGUGCUCCCCCUGGAAUGACAUAGGUAAUUGGUGUGAUUUCCUGGGAGGAUCAAAGGAUGGGAGGGAUAGUUUGCUGGAAUUUGAAGGAAAGGCUUUCAGGGAGAGGAAGCCAGUGUUAAAAAUUGCAUAAAAACUUGGGGGUAGGAGUUUAUAAAAGGUGAUUCCAGGGUCAGUUUUUUACGAGUACAGCUUGGAGAUGGUAAGAAAGUAACUACCCACCACUGCCUUGUAAUGUGGCCCACCAAAAUCCCAAAAAGGUCUCUGAUGCCUUGGUUUUAACUUUAAAGUUGAUGUAAAUGUUGCAUUCUACUCUACAGCACGUUUUAGGGGGGGGGGGAAAUUUUAGAGUAACUGUCAUCUGGUAAACUUGACAUUUAGUGAUAAUGUUCACUAGGUUUUGGCCCUACUGUUUCAAAGGUCUCCUUCCUCCUCCACACAAACACUCCUAAGGUAUGAAACUUCUAAGAAGCACCAUUGAAGGAAUAGAAGAGGAUAAGACAUGAAGGUAAGUCAGGGUCUGGUUGUAGAAGACUUUAAACAGCAAGAUAAUACGUUUAGAUGUUACACUUGUUAAAAACAAAACAAAACAAAGUUCUACCUAGUAAGUUUGAAGAUCUAAUUGGCUUUUUUAAACAAUUCCUGAAUCCCGCAGCAUCCCAUCUAGGAAGCAGAGAGGAGCUCCACUGAGUUAAACAA